rnacentral:rRNA from 1 species
CGGUGUUCAACUGGCGUGUCCGCGGGACGUCCUGCCGGUGGGCUUAGCCCGCAAGGGCGGCCCAACUUCAAAUCCCAUCGCGGUGCUCUUCACUGAGUGUCGAGGUGGGCCGGCACGUUUACUUUGAACAAAUUAGAGUGCUUAAAGCGGGCUAAAACUUCGCCUGAAUACUGUGUGCAUGGAAUAAUGGAAUAGGACCUCGGUUCUAUUUUGUUGGUUUUCGGAACCCCGAGGUAAUGAUUAAUAGGAACGGAUGGGGGCAUUCGUAUUGCGACGUUAGAGGUGAAAUUCUUGGAUCGCCGCAAGACGGACAGAAGCGAAAGCAUUUGCCAAAAACGCUUUCAUUGAUCAAGAACGAAAGUUAGAGGUUCGAAGGCGCUCAGAUACCGCCCUAGUUCUAACCAUAAACGAUGCCAGCUAGCGAUCCGUCGACGUUCCUCCGAUGACUCGACGGGCAGCUUCCGGGAAACCAAAGCUUUUGGGUUCCGGGGGAAGUAUGGUUGCAAAGCUGAAACUUAAAGGAAUUGACGGAAGGGCACCACCAGGAGUGGAGCCUGCGGCUUAAUUUGACUCAACACGGGAAACCUCACCAGGCCCGGACACCGGAAGGAUUGACAGAUUGAGAGCUCUUUCUUGAUUCGGUGGGUGGUGGUGCAUGGCCGUUCUUAGUUGGUGGAGCGAUUUGUCUGGUUAAUUCCGAUAACGAACGAGACUCUAGCCUGCUAACUAGGCGUAUUUUCGACAUCUCAAAGGUUCGUCGUCCCGGCCCUCGGGUCGUGGGCGUGCGCGAUUUUUACUGUCGGCGUACUAUCAAUUCUUCUUAGAGGGACAGGUGGCUUCUAGCCGCACGAGAUUGAGCAAUAACAGGUCUGUGAUG